GUGCAAUCCGCCGCGGUAAUACGUAGGUGGCAAGCUUUGUCCGGAUUUAUUGGGCGUAAAGCGAGCGCAGGCGGCUUCUUAAGUCUGAUGUGAAAGCCCCCGGCUCGACCGGGGAGGGUCAUUGGAGACUGGGAGACUUGAGUGCAGAAGAGGAGAGUGGAAUUCCAUGUGUAGCGGUGAAAUGCGUAGAUAUAUGGAGGAACACCAGUGGCGAAGGCGGCUCUCUGGUCUGUAACUGACGCUGAGGCUCGAAAGCGUGGGGAGCAAACAGGAUUAGAUACCCCAGUAGUCC
rnacentral:rRNA from 1 species